rnacentral:lncRNA from 1 species
AUGAUUAUCUCAGACACUCUCUCUCUUCCGUUCUCCCCCCCUCUCUCUCUCUCUCUUUCUACCUAUCUCUCUCCCGUUCUCUCUCCAUCUCCCCCUCUCUCUCUCCCAUUCUCUCUCCCCCUAUCUCUCUCCCAUUCUCUCUCUCUCCCCCUAUCUCUCUCCAUAUCUCUCUCCCGUUCUCUCUCCAUCUCCCCCUAUCUCUCCCGUUCUCCCCCUAUCUCUCUCCCGUUCUCUCUCCAUCUCCCCCUAUCUCUCUCCCGUUCUCUCUCCAUCUCCCCCUAUCUCUCUCCCAUUCUCUCUCCAUCUCUCCCUCUCUCUCUCCCGUUCUCUCUCCAUCUCCCCCUCUCUCUCUCCCGUUCUCUCUCCAUCUCCCCCUCUCUCUCUCCCGUUCUCUCUCCAUCUCCCCCUCUCUCUCUCCCGUUCUCUCUCCAUCUCCCCCUCUCUCUCCCGUUCUCUCUCCAUCUCCCCCUCUCUCUCUCCCGUUCUCUCUCCAUCUCCCCCUCUCUCUCUCCCGUUCUCCCUCCAUCUCCCCCUCUCUCUCUCCCGUUCUCUCUCCAUCUCCCCCUCUCUCUCUCCCGUUCUCUCUCCAUCUCCCCCUCUCUCUCUCCCGUUCUCUCUCCAUCUCCCCCUCUCUCUCUCCCGUUCUCCCUCCAUCUCCCCCUCUCUCUCUCCCGUUCUCCCUCCAUCUCCCCCUCUCUCUCUCCCGUUCUCUCUCCAUCUCCCCCUCUCUCUCUCCCGUUCUCUCUCCAUCUCCCCCUCUCUCUCUCCCGUUCUCUCUCCAUCUCCCCCGCUCUCUCUCCCGUUCUCUCUCCAUCUCCCCCUCUCUCGUUCUCUCUCCAUCUCCCCCUCUCUCUCUCUCCUGUUCUCUCUCCAUCUCCCCUCUCUCUCUCCCGUUCUCUCUCCAUCUCCCCCUCUCUCGUUCUCUCUCCAUCUCCCCCUCUCUCUCUCUCCCGUUCUCUCUCCAUCUCCCCUAUCUCUCUCCCGUUCUCCCUCCAUCUCCCCCUCUCUCUCUCCCGUUCUCUCUCCAUCUCCCCCUCUCUCGUUCUCUCUCCAUCUCCCCCGCUCUCUCUCCCAUUCUCUCUCCAUCUCCCCCUCUCUCGUUCUCUCUCCAUCUCCCCCUCUCUCUCUCCCGUUCUCUCUCCCGUUCUCUCUCCAUCUCCCCCUCUCUCUCUCCCGUUCUCUCUCAAUCUCUCUCACCUUUCUCACUCCCAGCUCCUCAACAGUAUUUUAUAA